UACGUAGGGACCGAGCGUUGUCCGGAUUCAUUGGGCGUAAAGAGCUCGUAGGCGGCUGUUCAAGUCGAACGUGAAAACUCGGAGCUCAACUCCGAGCCUGCGUUCGAUACUGGACGGCUAGAGUCUGGUAGGGGGAUCUGGAAUUCCUGGUGUAGCGGUGGAAUGCGCAGAUAUCAGGAGGAACACCUGUGGUGUAGACGGCUUUCUGGACCAUUGCUGACGCUGAGACACGAAAGCGUGGGUAGCAAACAGG
rnacentral:rRNA from 1 species